UACGUAGGGGGCAAGCGUUGUCCGGAAUCAUUGGGCGUAAAGCGCGUGUAGGCGGCUUGAUAAGUCUGCUCUGAAAGCCCGGGGCUCAACCCCGGGAGGCGGGUGGAUACUGUCAAGCUCGAGUCCGGAAGAGGAGUGUGGAAUUCCUGGUGUAGCGGUGAAAUGCGCAGAUAUCAGGAAGAACACCGAUGGCGAAGGCAGGUCUCUGGGCCACUACUGACGCUGAGAAGCGAAAGCAUGGGGAGCGAACAGG
rnacentral:rRNA from 1 species